GUGUAGGGGCGACAGGUACCCUAGUGGUUAGAGUGGAGGGGCGGCAGGUAGCCUAGUGGUUAGAGUGUAGGGGCGACAGGUAGCCUAGUGGUUAGAGUGUAGGGGCGACAGGUAGCCUAGUGGUUAGAGUGUAGGGGCGACAGGUAGCCUAGUGGUUAGGGUGUAGGGGCGACAGGUACCCUAGUGGUUAGAGUGUAGGGGCGACAGGUAGCCUAGUGGUUAGAGUGUAGGGGCGACAGGUAGCCUAGUGGUUAGAGUGUAGGGGCGACAGGUAGCCUAGUGGUUAGAGUGUAGGGGCGACAGGUAGCCUAGUGGUUAGAGUGUAGGGGCGACAGGUAGCCUAGUGGUUAGAGUGUAGGGGCGACAGGUACCCUAGUGGUUAGAGUGUAGGGGCGACAGG